rnacentral:lncRNA from 1 species
AAGUCACUUUCCCAGUUGCUCCUCUCUUUCUUUGCAGGAAGGACUGUGGACAGAAACACCACGAGGGUCCUCGAAUCCAUACGGGGGGAGGUGGAGAGAAUUCUGAGGAGAACCUGUUGGACAUCGGCAAUCAACUAGGAAGGACUGUGGACAGAAACACCACGAGGGUCCUCGAAUCCAUACGGGGGGAGGUGGAGAGAAUUCUGAGUGAGAAGCUGACUGUGUUUCAUAACCAACUAGAAGUUUCACAGCAUGCUGCCCCACUUCUGGAGGAACGGGCCAACACCCAGGCUUCCCUCCAGGCAAUCUCUGAAAAUAUGCAAUCUCUGAUGGCAUCUUUGCAGAACGUGGAGGCAUCUAGAAAGCAAGACCUUGAGAUCCUCAGAGCAGAGAUGCAGGGCAAAAUAAGCAAGGAUUUGGAGGCAGCAAAGAGGUCCUGGUCUGAGGAGAACCUGUUGGACAUCGGCAAUCAACUAGGUGAGCACAUUGAUCCCCAAAGAAGCUUUUGACCUGUGGUUUUACCCUGGUGAGCAGUGAAACACUACACAGCUGCUGCUCAUGUUCCUCUAAGAGGAUGGGGGAGAGAAGUGGAAAGGUGAUAGUGAGAAAGCGCAUGGGUUGAGAUAUAGACAGUUUAAUAGGCAGGGUAAGAGAUAUGCUGCAAGCACAAGCAAAGCAAAAUUCAGAAGCCAUUCACUGCUUCUGAUUGGUGAGCAGAUGUUCUGCCAUCACAAGGAAAGCAAGGCUCCACCAGAGGUGGUACUUCGUGGGGAAGACCAGUGCAAAACACUAUGAAAGUCUCCCCUUCCUCCUUCUUCACCCCAGCUUUUAUUGCUGAGCAAGGUGUCAUAUGGGAUCCCUUUGGGCAGCCGCGGUCUGCUGUCCUGGCUGUGUUCCCUCACUGCAGCAUGGGCACCCCCAACACCCUCCCUGGCAGAGCAUGAUGACAAGCAGAGGGGCCCCUGACUGUGUGGAAGCACUGCCCAGAACAACUAAAUCAUCCACCAGUUAACAGCAACAUUUUCAUCACAAAUCCAAAACACCACGUCAUAGCAGCUCCAACGAAGACGCUUAAGCUAUGCCAGCCAAAAAACAGGAUGGCCUCCUGAAGGCAAAUGGUGUCAUUUGGUGACACCACUGUAUGGGCUAGUUUCUGGCAUUUCUUCCAUGAUACUGGGAAGGACAGCCCUUUCUUUUGGAGAGGUCUUGUGUCCCACUCCGAUGACACAGCCCCAUGACAGAGUAGUGCC